rnacentral:piRNA from 1 species
CAAGAUUCUGUGUUGUCCAAAGAUAAG